UUAAGCUACUAAGAGCAUAGGGAGGAUACCUUGACACCAAGAGCCGAUGAAGGACGUGAUAAGCUGCGAAAAGCUAUGGGGAGGAGCAAAUAUCUAGCGAUCCAUAGAUAUCCGAAUGAGGAAACUCAACUAGAAGAAAUAAUCUAGUUAUCCAUACGUAAGUAAAGUAGCGUAUGAGAAGGGAACGCAGGGAACUGAAACAUCUUAGUACCUGCAGGAAAAGAAAGAAAACUCGAUUCCUGAAGUAGUGGCGAGCGAAACAGGAAGAGCCUAAACCAGGAGAAGUAAUUCACCUGGGGUGACGGACUACAAAAAUGACUCAAGAAUCUAAUAGAAAUGUUUUGGAAAAGCAUACCAUAGAAGGUGAAAGUCCAGUAUAUGAAAGAAGAAGGAGCAUGGUAGUAUCCAGAGUAAUGCGAGGCACGUGGAAUCUCGUAUGAAGAAGUGGGGACCACCCCAUAAGGCUAAAUACUACUUGGUGAUCGAUAGUGAAAUAGUACCGUGAGGGAAAGGUGAAAAGAACCCCGGGAGGGGAGUGAAAGAGAACUUGAAACCCUAUGUUUACAAGCAGAUAGAGCGAUUUAAGGCGCGAUAUCGUACUUUUUGUAGAACGGUCCAGCGAGUUAUUGUAUAUGGCAAGGUUAAGUACUAAGUAAGGUACGGAGCCGAAGUGAAAGCGAGCCUGAAUAGGGCGAAUUAAGUCAUAUGUAAUAGACCCGAAACCGGGUGACCUAUCCAUGGUCAGGAUGAAGCUAGAGUAAAAUCUAGUGGAGGUCCGAACUCAUAAGCGUUAAAAAGCUUCGGGAUGAACUGUGGAUAGCGGAGAAAUUCCAAUCGAACUCGGAGAUAGCUGGUUCUCCUCGAAAUAGCUUUAGGGCUAGCCUUGUGUAGUAGUAUAUGGGGGUAGAGCACUGACUGAGGUAGGGGCCUAACCAGGUUACCAAACUCUAUCAAACUCCGAAUACCGUAUAUGUAAGCACAGGAGUCAGACUGUGGGAGCUAAGUUCCAUGGUCAAAAGGGAAAGAGCCCAGAUCGUCAAUUAAGGUCCCAAAGAUAUAGCUAAGUGGCAAACGAUGUGAUUUUGCGUAAACAACCAGGAUGUUGGCUUAGAAGCAGCCAUACAUUUAAAGAGUGCGUAAUAGCUCACUGGUCGAGUGAAGUUGCGCGGAAAAUUACCGGGGCUAAGCUAUACACCGAAAUUGCGGAUUUACAUUUGAAAGAUAAUGUAAGUGGUAGAGGAGCAUUCUGUAGUAGGGAGAAGCAUAAGCGAGAGCAUGUGUGGACGAGGCAGAAGAGAGAAUGCUGGAAUAAGUAGCGAGAGCAAGGUGAGAAUCCUUGCCGUCGAAAGUCUAAGGUUUCCUGGGGAAGGUUCGUCCGCCCAGGGUAAGUCGGGACCUAAGGUGAGGCUGAAAAGCGUAGCCGAUGGAUAGCAGGUUGAAAUUCCUGCACUAUAGAUAUACUUAAAAGAUGCAAGGGACGCAGGAGUGGAAGAUAAGCGAGGAAGAGGAAAAACUCGUAUCGCAAGAUAUAGUGAAAAUAAAGUAACGAAUUAUCAAGAAGCACACUGACGAGAAAAGCUUGUAGAUAUUGUAUAUAAAUACCCGUACCGCAAACCGACACAGGUAGAUGAGGAGAGGAUCCUAAGACGAGCGGGAGAAGCAUUGUUAAGGAACUCGGCAAAUUGACCCCGUAACUUAGGGAGAAGGGGUGCCAAGGUAACACUUGGCCGCAGUGAAGAGGUUCAAGCAACUGUUUAACAAAAACACAGGUUUCUGCUAAAUCGAAAGAUGAAGUAUAGGAGCUGACGCCUGCCCAGUGCUGGAAGGUCAAAGGGAAGUGUUAGUAAAAACUUACGAAGCACAGAACUCAAGCCCCAGUGAACGGCGGCCGUAACUAUAACGGUCCUAAGGUAGCGAAAUUCCUUGUCAGGUAAG
rnacentral:rRNA from 1 species